UCGAGAAUUUUUCUCAAUGGGCGAAAGCCUGAAGGAGCGACGCCGCGUGGAGGAUGAAGGCUUUCGGGUUGUAAACUCCUGUCAUUUGAGAACAAGGUGCGAGUAUUAACUGUACUCGUAUUGAUAGUAUCAGAAGAGGAAGGGACGGCUAACUCUGUGCCAGCAGCCGCGGUAAUACAGAGGUCCCAAGCGUUGUUCGGAUUCAUUGGGCGUAAAGGGUGCGUAGGUGGCGCGCUAAGUCGGGUGUGAAAUUUCGGAGCUUAACUCCGAAACUGCAUUCGAUACUGGUGUGCUUGAGGACUGGAGAGGAGACUGGAAUUCAUGGUGUAGCAGUGAAAUGCGUAGAGAUCAUGAGGAAGACCAGUGGCGAAGGCGGGUCUCUGGACAGUUCCUGACACUGAGGCACGAAGGCCAGGGGAGCAAACGG
rnacentral:rRNA from 1 species